CCGACGGUGAGGGGCGAAAGCUGGGGGCACGAACCGGAUUAGAUACCCGGGUAGUCCCAGCCGUAAUCGAUGCUCGCUAGGUGUCUGGGAUGGUGCGACCGUUUCAGGUGCCGCAGGGAAGCCGUGAAGCGAGCCACCUGGGAAGUACGGCCGCAAGGCUGAAACUUAAAGGAAUUGGCGGGGGAGCACUACAACGGGUGGAGCCUGCGGUUUAAUUGGACUCAACGCCGGAAAACUCACCUGGGGC
rnacentral:rRNA from 1 species